UUAACUCCGGUUGCUGCUGCUGUGAAGGGAAAGAGGGGUAGUCACAGUCUGUCCCAUCGUCUCGGUCCAAGUCAGCACAAACAGACACACAAACGCAACAGAGAAGCACAAGAUGGGAGCAGCUUCGUGAAGAUGGGGUUCAUCAUGCUGGAUAUGCGGUAACCAUGAAGGAUGAGGUGGUCCUAGGCAGGACCGUCCAUGCAAUGUGCUAAGCUCUGGGCACUCAUACAGGCACUCCGAUGGGCGAAGGGUAAAAAAGGCAGAAUUGACUACUUUAUGGCUGGUUACUGCUUCAUCCUGUGCCACCUGCCCUCCCAUCAUGAGGCCCUUACCAGAAGUCAAGCAGAACCCAAGCAGAUGGUGGUGCCAUGCUCCCAGCCUCCAAAACCCUGAGCCAAAAUAAACCUUCCUUGGAAAUCGG
rnacentral:lncRNA from 1 species